AUUGAACGCUGGCGGCAAGCCUAACACAUGCAAGUCGAGCGGACCGGCGGACGGGAGAGUGAUGCCUAGGAAUCUACAUGGUAGUAGGGGACAAAGUCCGGAAACGGGAGCAAAAUCCACCUGCGUUCAGAUGACCCUAGGUCGGAUUGGCUAGUUGGGGUGUGAAAGGCCUACCAGGGCGACGAUCCGUAACUGGUCUGAGAGGAUGAUCAGUCAAACUGGAACUGAGACACGGUCCAGAUUCCGACGGGAGGCAGAAGUGGGGAAUAUUGGACAAUGGGCGAAAGCCUGAGCCAGCCAUGCCGCGUGUGUGAAGAAGGUCUUCGGAUUGUAAAGCACUUUAAGUUGGGAGGCGUGACCAACAGAGUAAGCACCGGCUAACUACGUGCCAGCCGCCGCGGUAAUUC
rnacentral:rRNA from 1 species